CCCAGGCAUGGUGGCGCACGCCUGUAAUCCCUGCUACUCGGGAGGCUGAGGCAGGAGAAUUGCUAGAACCCAGGAGGCGGAGGUUGCAGUGAGCCCAGAUCACGCCACUGCACUCCAGCCUGGGUGACAGAGCAAGACUCUGUCUCAAGAAAAAAAAAAAAAAUUGUUUCUUCAAUAAUUUUGUUGUUUUGAUUUUGAGACAGAGUCUUACUGUGUCACCAGGCUGGAGUGCUGUGGCAAGAUCUCGGCUCACUGCAACUUCUACCUCCCGGGUUCAAGCGAUUCUCCUGCCUCA
rnacentral:sRNA from 1 species